UACGAAGGUGGCAAGCGUUACUCGGAAUUACUAGGCGUAAAGGGCAGGUAGGUGGUUUGAUAAGUCUGUUGUGUAAGCUCCCGGCUUAACUGGGAGAGGUCAACAGAUACUAUUAGGCUUGAGUAUAGGAGAGGGUACUGGAAUUCCCGGUGUAGCGGUGAAAUGCGCAGAGAUCGGGAGGAACACCAAUGGCGAAAGCAGGUACCUGGACUAUUACUGACACUAAGCUGCGAAAGCUAGGGGAGCAAACAGG
rnacentral:rRNA from 1 species